rnacentral:lncRNA from 10 species
GGACCAAUGAUGAGUACCAUGGGGUAUCUGAAACAGGAUUUUUGAUUAAACCCAUAUGCAAUUCUGAGGUCCAUUACAAAGAGACACGUAUUAUUCCUUUUUUGGGAAGUGAGCCUAUGGUACCUUUUCCUUGGACUUUGUGGUUCUUGGGGAUGGAUUGCAUUUUUGUUAUAAAAUCAGCCCAUGAAUUAAAAAUUUAUCAAUGAGUAAAACAUAAAGCAUAAGUCAUGUACUUAUUAUCAGUGACUGUAAUGAAACAUGGAUUAUUAUUAAAACUUAUCUGAGACUCCCAAUAAAUUAAUACCCAAGGCUUCUACCAUUCUGGUAAGGAGCAUAUGGUCAUUUGUAUGCAAGAGUCAGUUUUUGUUCUGUGUUGGUGGUGGGUUGCUGACUAUUUUAUGAAGAAAAUGAAGCAUCUUUAAUCAUAUAAAUAGUUGGUUAAAUAACCACUUAAUUGAGACCAAGCAGAGACCAAUGAUGAGUGUAUUAAUCUAUUUUUUAAUGGAUUUUUAUUAAACAAAUAAUAAAAGAAACACAGUCUAUUCUUCCUGAGGGCAAUAACUCUAGACAGAUGUAAAUAUUCUUCAGUGUUCUUGUCCAGUGCUGUGAGAUCACAGAUACUGAUGUCUUUUGUAUAUGAGAAGGAACUUGCAUUUUUAUGUCUCAGUUUAUAUUUUAGAGUCAGCAAACCAUGGACCAAUUAGGAACAAAUGUUAUGAUAUGAGAAUGCUGAUUCUUGUUUUUUUUUUUCAUGAUAGACAUUCUAAGAAAAACUCUAGGCUCUCUCAUUGUUUUUGGAAUACAUACAUGGUUCUUUCCAAGUAGUUUCUUAGAAAAAUGUUUUUAAAAAGAGGCUUUUAAAAAGAGCCUUUUAAAAUGUUUUUAAAAGAAGGCUUUAUUUUUCUCUAUAGAAUGAAAACCAUGUAGCUGGUCUUAUUAUUCUCUAAUCAUGAAGACCAUUAUUGUUAUUUGUGGACUAAGGAGCAGAAAGACUGAUAGUGGACAUAGGCCAGCUGAUUUAAUAAUUUAAGAAAGAACUGUUAUCCUGAGUAAGGAGCAUAGAGACAAAUAUAAAAUGAACGCACUCUACCUGAUUUAAUUAUAGUCUUCUGGUGAAGAUCUUGCUGUUAUCUCUGUGAAUCAGGAGAGAAGAGAUUGAUAAGGAAUAGACGAGAUUGGAUUUGGUCAUUUCCCCAAGGUGAAGAGCAUGGCGAUUUCUUCUGUGGUAAGGAGCAAUAAUGAAGACCAUGGUUGAUUUAAUCAGUCUCUGCUGAUGAAGAUCUUGGCUGUUACCUUUGUGUAAUGAAUGCGCAAUGAUUCAAUUAUUCUCCAGCGAGGAAGAUCAUGGUUGUUGUCUGUUUGAGUAAUGAGUGUAGAAACCUAUAAUGGAGGCGUGAUGGCUGAUGCAAUCAUUUUCCACUGAUGAAGGUUUUGAUGGCCACCUGUAAUGAACAGCCCCAUCUGAUUUAAUCACUGUGCAAUGACCGUGAACUGUACAGUUACCUCCGUGUGUCACAGGAAGACUCUUUUGACUUAAGCACCCUUCCAUGGUCAUGAGGUUUCUGGUUGCCUCUGUGUGUUAGAAGCUUGGAGACCAAUGCCUUCUGCUGUGAUCGCGUUCUCCACAGUUGCCUCUGGGUAGGAGCCUGGACACUAAUAGAAAAUGGAUGCACUUGAGCCGACCUAAGCAUUCAUGGUCAUGAGAUUUGUGGUUGCCACUGUUGGUUAGGAGCAUAGAGAUCAGUAAUGGACACACCUGGGCUGGCAGAACAUCUUGCCUUGAUCUGGAGCCCCAUGUCUGCCCCUCUGUAGAGGUGCACAUGGGCCAAUGAUGGAUGCAAUGAGCUGAUCAUUUUGCUGUGAUCAAGGCUAUGUUGCCUCUGUGUUAGGCCAAUGGUUGAUGUUCAUGGGUGAUUGAUCAUCCUGUAGCGACGGUGGUAUUGACUGUUCCCCAGAGGACAAGGAGUGUGUUCUUAUCUACUCAGGAGGCUGAGGCAGGAGAAACGCUUGAACCCGAGAGGCGGAGGUUGCAGUGAGCUGAGAUUGCGCCAUUGCACUCCAGCCUGGGCAACAAGAGUGAAACUCCAUCUCAAAAGAAAAAAAAAAGAAAACAAAACAAAAAAAGAAAAAACCAAUGUUCCAAUAGUUUCCCAAAUCAUGCUGAUGCUGCCUCCUGAGAAAUAUUUUCAGAAUCACUGAGAAAAAUGUAUGAAAUAGUUAAUGUCCUUGCUCUGUGUCAGUGGUGGAGGCUGUCUGCAGUAGGAGCAUGGAGACCAACAAUGGAUGCUCUUAAACUGAUUUAAGCACGCUUCCAUGGUCAGAAGCCUUAUGGUUGCCACAGGGUAUUAGGAGCAUGGAGACCAAUAAUGGAUGUCCUUGUUCUGAUUUGAGGAUGCCUCCAAGGUCACAUACUCUGUUUGCACCACGCUUAGGAAGGAGCGUGAAGACCAAGGGAAGAUGAUAAACACAGAUCAUGGAGGACUGUUUUAUCUGUUUGUGAUCUGCCGUCCUCUGUGAGCCUCAGGAUGGAUGUUUGCCAGCCGAUUCCAUGGUUACAAGCUCUAUAGCUGCAUCUAUGUGUUAGGAGCAUGAAGACCAAUAAUGGAUGCACUGAGCUGAUUAUGAAUUUAGCCCUGAUGAAGACUUGUGUUGCUGUCAUGAUAUGAAAGAUUCCAGUAAUGAACGCACUUGAGUUGAUUCAAGCACGCUUCCAUGGUCAUGAGCUCUGUGGUUGCAUCUGUGUGUUAGGAGCAUGCAGACCAAUAGUGAUAAUCUCGAGGUGAUUUAUGCAUUCUUCCAUGGCCACCAGCCUUAUGAUUGCAUCUGUGCGUCACAGCUUAGAGAUCAAUAAUGGAUGCAACAAGCUCUUUGAAUCAUUCUGUUGGGAUCAAGAUUGUUGUGUUCCCUCUGUUUGGAAAGAGACCAAGAAUGGAUACGCUCAGGUGAUUUAAGCAGUCUUCCAUGGCCACGAGCUCUGUGGUUGCCUCUGUAUAUUAAGAGCACAGAGAUUAAAAAUGGGUGCACUUGAGCCGAUUGAAACAUUCCUCCUUGCAUCUUUCUUCUGUGAUUGCAUCUAUUUGUUAGUAGCAUAGAGACCAAUAAUAGAUGGCUUGUGCUGAUGGAAGGAUUCCUCCCUGGUGACAUGCUGUGUCUGCCUCUUGAUUGGGAGCACGCAGACCUACAAUGAUGCACUUUUUAUGAUUUGAGAAUUCCUUCAUGGUCACGUGCUCUGUUUUUAUCAUGGUUGGGAGCCUGCAGAGCAAUAAGGGACAUGCCUUUGCUGAUUUGAGGAUUCCUCUGAGGUUGGGAGCUAAGUUUGCAUCAUGCUUAGAAAGGAGUGUGCAGACCUGUAAUGAUUGCACUUUGCUGAUUGAAGGAUUCCUUCAAGUCCAUGUGCUCCACUUGCACCAUUUUUAGGAUGGAGCCUGGAGACCUAUAAUGAACAACUUGUGCUGUGUUAAGGAUUCCUCCAUGAUCACGCGCCCCAUUUGUACACCAUGCUUGGGAAGGUGCAUGCAGACCAAUGUUAGUAAUAGUCAAAAUUCCUGUGUCGGUUUGUGUGGUUUGCUAAACAGGACUCAAUGUAUCAUGAAACAGUGUAUUAUAUAGUCAACUAUGGUCAACUAUGUCCCAGUGAUAUUUAUGAGAGGGAUCUGAAGUAUUUAUUGAUAAUGCAUAUAUGAAAAACGGAGAAGAAUUAAUGAAACAGAUAUAUCUGUGUUAGAAUGAUUCUGUAUAAAGAUAGGGAAUAUCAAGU